rnacentral:rRNA from 1 species
CCUACGGGAGGCAGCAGUAGGGAAUGUUGCGCAAUGGGCGAAAGCCUGACGCAGCAACACCGCGUGAAUGGUAAGUACUUCGGGGUGUAAAGUUCUGUCAAUAGGGACGAAUUUUGACUGUACCUAUAAAGGAAGCACCGGCUAACUCCGUGCCAGCAGCCGCGGUAAUACGGGGGGUGCAAGCGUUGUCCGGAAUCAUUGGGCGUAAAGCGUUCGUAGGCGGCAAGGUAAGUCUGAUGUUAAAGCCCGGGGCUCAACUCCGGUUCGGCAUUGGAUACUAUCUAGCUAGAAUGUGGUAGAGGUAAAGGGAAUUCCUGGUGUAGCGGUGAAAUGCGUAGAUAUCGCGCAGAACCCCGAUUGCGAAGGCAGCGUACCGGCUCCACACUGACGCUGAGGCACGAAAGCGUGGGUAUCGAACAGGAUUAGAUACCCCUGUAGUC